rnacentral:rRNA from 1 species
UACACUCCUGCGGGAGGCAGCAGUGGGGAAUAUUGCACAAUGGGCGCAAGCCUGAUGCAGCCAUGCCGCGUGUAUGAAGAAGGCCUUCGGGUUGUAAAGUACUUUCAGCGGGGAGGAAGGCAAUACGGUUAAUAACCGUGUUGAUUGACGUUACCCGCAGAAGAAGCACCGGCUAACUCCGUGCCAGCAGCCGCGGUAAUACGGAGGGUGCAAGCGUUAAUCGGAAUUACUGGGCGUAAAGCGCACGCAGGCGGUCUGUCAAGUCGGAUGUGAAAUCCCCGGGCUCAACCUGGGAACUGCAUUCGAAACUGGCAGGCUUGAGUCUUGUAGAGGGGGGUAGAAUUCCAGGUGUAGCGGUGAAAUGCGUAGAGAUCUGGAGGAAUACCGGUGGCGAAGGCGGCCCCCUGGACAAAGACUGACGCUCAGGUGCGAAAGCGUGGGGAGCAAACAGGAUUAGAAACCCUUGUAGUCCC